rnacentral:lncRNA from 1 species
AUCAAAGUGUAGCAUCUUACCCCAAGUCUGCCUUUGUGUACUGGCCCUAUAUACAUAUAUAUAUAUAUAUAUGUAUAUAUAUAUAUGUAUGUAUGUAUAUAUAUGUGUAUAUAUAUAUAUAUAUAUAUUUUUUGGUCUCUGUUGCCUUUCACAUGGACAUUUAAAACUGUGUGUCUAUUCCUUGAAUUCUUUUAUUCUUCUGCCUUUUUUUUUUUUUUUUUAAUAUUGACACCCUAGACUUUCCAAGUGACUUCCAGCAACCCAGCUUCCCUGGUGCCUCAGCAGCAAGGAACCCGACUGCCAGUGCAGGAGAAGAGUUCAGUCAGUGGGUGCGGAAGAUCCCCGGGAGUAGGAAGUGGCUCCCCAUCCCAGUAUUCCUUCAUGGGGGAUCCCAUGGACAGAGGAGCCUGGCAGGCUACAGUCCAUGGAGUUGCAGAGUCUCAGACACGGCUGAGUAUGAAGGCUCCAGCAACCUCAGAGCAUCUGUCUCUACUGAUCGUGGGCUAGCACGGCUCUUACGGACUCUUCCCCCAUGGCCCCACUUGAGUUUGGUCUGAGGAAACAACAAACCAUUUCCACUGCAAAGCAUCUUCGACUGAGAAACUUUCAACUGCGCUGAAAAACCGAAGACAAAUUUUCCUUCCCUCUCAUUUGAAAGGACUUAAAAAAGAAAUAAAUCGUCAGAGGUUUAAAGUUAAUACUCAGGAUGAAUGAUGAUAAUUCAGAUGGCAAGACAGAAGAUGAACUGCAAUCCUUGUGUAUCUGUGAUAAAAAUGGAAACACAUAUGCAUGCAACCGAAAACCACCACCUACCCAAAACGCUGCAACCAAUAAUGUGAGUUGGCAUUGCGCCGACCCAAAUGGCGUGGUGGGUGACUAUGAAACUGGCUCUGAUGUGGACAUUGGUGAAAACAUUUCUUUAAACCCUCAGUGUGUUGAAGUACACGAUCACCAAAAGUCUUCAAGUAAUUUCAUCAGUGAGGAGGCAUUAGAGGUGCACACGGAUGCCACGUGUCCAUCUUUUGCACAGGUUGUAAAUACAGCGGAACCCAAAUAUUUGCAUAGCAGUUGUCAUUCCCUAGGAUCGUUGAACCAGAGUGUUGAGACAUCUCUAACUUGUGUAUGGAAAACUAACAAUGAUGAUUUGAACUGUACAGACAAUCCUACUGCCUUACUGCUCAACCAGACUUUUGACAUAAAAGUGGAUAAUGUUAACUGUACCUUCGUAACACACGAUACCACUGGAAAAAGUCAGUCUUUGCCUACCACUGCAAGCCUGCAGCCAACCAACACGAGAAGCAUAAAUACAUCUUUAUCCUGUUCCAUUCUUCCAUCUUCCCAUUCUGAUAAGAUACAUGUAAGAGAAAUAAGUUGUGAUCGAGAGAGCUUUGAAAAUUCUCAACCUGCAGCAUCACAGGCCCAGGACACAACUUACGCAGUAUUUUCUGACAUGGUGAUGCAAAUUGAUGUUGUUGUUCCAGAUACCGAAAAUCAGUGCCACCAUUCUUUGGGAAAGGUCGCCAGUGAGUACCCAGAUGGAGCACAGCAAAGACGAGGCAGAGAAAAGGAGAUACAAGCUCUAACACAAGUUUCUGAUGGCAUGGAUGCUCCCAGUGGGUCUGUAUCACAAGAGUUCUUUUGUCCAUCUAAAGAUGAACCAAAUAGGGAGACACAUUCAUGGAGCUCAUAUGGGCAAAAGGAAAUGGGCCAAAAUGUAAAAGAAACAGUGUCCAAUUGUCUUAUAGAUGAUGAAUGCCCUUUACUGGUGCCAGCUGUUAAUAAAAGCAAAACCCAAGUGCUGGGCCCAAAACACCAAGUCACUGUGACUAAAGACACACCAACUGCCUUCAAUGAAAAGCAUUUGGGAACCCAAAAUCGUACCAUAGAACUGAUACCAAAUAGCCCGCCAGGACAAAAGGAAGCGUCACUACUUGAGCUGACUUGGAAUGCAGAUGAUAUGGUCAUCAGUACAGAUAACAGAAUUUGCAUGUCCACACCAGUCCUUGAACCCAUGAACACAACCUUUUCUGUCUCACCUGUUGAAGGCGUGGAGAAAUGUAGCAAAGUGCAGACGAGUAAUCGAGAGCCCCGAUGUUUACCAAAUUUGAAGGCAGCACCAAUGAUUGUGUCAAAACUUAACCUAGGAAAAUCUACCACCAAAGCAAAUAGCCCCCUAGGCAGCAAAGUUCGAAAAACCAAAAUUAUAAGUUACCCAAGACCAAACUUCAAGAACAUUAAAGCAAAAGUUGUAUCCAGACCCGUGUUGCAGCCCAAGGACCCUGCUCUAUCAAAGGCUGCGCCCAGACCUCAGUUAACUGGUGCCUCGUCUCCCUCAUCAGUGUCUUCCUCAAGACAGUCAACGGGUUUAAGCAAAACAGCAACAUGUGACUUGAAUGCAGACCCCAAAGCAGAAAUUCCAAUAAACAAGACGCAUAAGCAGCAGUUUAAUAAACUCAUUACGAGCCAGGCUGUGCAUGUUACAACUCAUUCUAAAAAUGCUUCACACAAGAAGCAUCCAAGAACAACAUCUGCCAUGAAAUCAAAUCAGGAAGAUGUUGACAAAGCAAGUUCUUCCAAUCCAGCGUGUGAGACUGGGUCCGUGGCUGCGGUUUUUCAGAUCAAAGAUGAGCUCCCUGUGAAAAUGGAAAGCACAGAAGGCUUGGAAGUGCCCUCUGCUUCCCACGUCGAUAGGAUUAGCCCUGAAAAGAAGGGUGAAGAAGAAAAUGGGACACCAGUGGCAAAACAGGAGCUAAAAAAGGAAAUCCUGAGUGAGACCUCUGCCUUUGGUUCUCUGUUUUUGGAUUCCGCUUCCAAACUUGCAAGCAUCUCAGGUGGGAAACCGGCUACACCCAACUCCUCCAUUCUGAGGAAAACACCUGGUCCGAAAGCCAGAGUGGGGCCUUCUGUUUCCUGUUUGAGGCGGAAUAGCGACAGCAGAAAUCUCACCUCCGAUCGGGCCGUGUCUCCCCAGAGGAUCAGGCGUGUGUCCAGUUCUGUUGAGAAGGGCAGACAGAAGAGUCCCCGAAGUCUGUGCAUCCAGACCCAGACAUCCCCAGAUGUGCUGUCCUCUGAGAAAGCACUUGAGUUGGCUCAAUAUAAAAGCAAAUGUACGAAGCAAAGUGGAGUUAUCCUGCAGCUCAAGCAGCUUCUUUCCCUGGGCAACACCAAGUUUGAGGCAUUAACAGUUGUGGCUCAGCACCUGCUGUCUCAGCGAGAGGAAGCACUGAAACAAAACAAAACCCUAUCUCAAGAACUUGUCAACCUCCGGGGAGAGCUAGUCACUGUUUCAACCACCUGUGAGAAGUUAGAAAAAGCCAGGAAUGAGUUGCAAAUAGCUUAUGAAGGAUUUGUCCAGAAGUUAAACCAGCAGCACCAGACUGAUCUAACAGAGCUGGAGAAUCGGCUUAAAGAAUUUUACACUGGGGAAUGUGAAAAGCUUCAGAACAUCUACAUAGAAGAAGCAGAGAAAUACAAAACUCAAUUGCAGGAGCAGUUUGACAACUUAAAUGCUACCCACGAAACCUCUAAGUUGAAAAUCGAAGCAAGCCACUCCGAGAAAAUAGAAUUGCUAAAGAAGUCCUAUGAAAAUUCCCUUUCAGAAAUCAAGAAAAGCCAUGAAAUGGAAAAGAAAUCCCUCGAGGAUCUGCUUUACGAGAAGCAGGAAUCACUAGAGAAACAAAUCAGUGAUCUGAAGAGUGAAAAUGAUGCUUUAAAUGAAAAGUUGAAAUCAGAAGAACAGAAAAGAGUAUCAAGAGAGAAAGCAAAUUUAAAAAACCCUCAGAUCAUGUAUCUGGAGCAAGAGUUAGAAAGCCUGAAAGCCGUGUUAGAGAUCAAGAAUGAGAAGCUGCGCCAACAGGACGUCAAGUUAAUGAAGAUGGAGAAACUGGUGGACAAUAACACAGCGCUGGUAGACAAACUGAAGCGAUUCCAGCAGGAGAAUGAAGAACUAAAAGCUCGGAUGGACAAGCACAUGGCAAUUUCAAGGCAACUUUCCACGGAGCAAGCGGUCCUGCAGGAGUCGCUGGAGAAGGAGUCCAAGGUCAACAAGCGCCUCUCCAUGGAGAACGAGGAGCUGCUCUGGAAGCUCCACAAUGGGAACCUGUGCAGCCCCAAGAGGUCCCCCACGUCCCCCGCCGCCCCCUUCCAGUCGCCUCGGAACUCCGGCUCCUUCCCCAGCCCCAGUGUCUCUUACCCAGAAGACCUUCCUGGGAGCCAGAGAGAGACAGACAGCAUCUCUGCAGGACUGACCCCGCCCGCAACUGCGCACCACCCGCCCUAG